rnacentral:tRNA from 4 species
GCGGACGUAGCGCAGCUGGUAGCGCAUCGCCUUGCCAAGGUGAGGGUCGCGGGUUCGAGUCCCGUCGUCCGCU